rnacentral:rRNA from 1 species
CCUACGGGUGGCAGCAGUGGGGGAUAUUGCACAAUGGGGGGAACCCUGAUGCAGCGACGCCGCGUGGGUGAAGAAGCGCCUCGGCGCGUAAAGCCCUGUCAGCAGGGAAGAAAAUGACGGUACCUGAAGAAGCAGCCCCGGCUAACUACGUGCCAGCAGCCGCGGUAAUACGUAGGGGGCAAGCGUUAUCCGGCUUUACUGGGUGUAAAGGGGGCGCAGACGGCGAUGCAAGCCAGGAGGGAAAGCCCGGGGCUCAACCCCGGGACUGCUCGUGGAACUGCGUGGCUGGAGUGCAGGAGGGGCAGGCGGAAGUCCUGGUGAAGCGGUGAAAUGCGUAGAUAUCAGGAGGAACACCGGUGGCGAAGGCGGCCUGCUGGACUGCAACUGACGUUGAGGCCCGAAAGCGUGGGGAGCAAACAGGAUUAGAUACCCGUGUAGUC